GAUGAAGAACGCAGCGAAAUGCGAUAAGUAAUGUGAAUUGCAGAAUUCAGUGAAUCAUCGAAUCUUUGAACGCACCUUGCACCCUUUGGCAUUCCGAAGGGUAUGCUCGUUUGAGUGUCAUUGUACUCUCACACUCUCCGAUCCUAUGGAUUCGGGGAGCGGUGGACUUGGGUGUUGCUGCCUUUCCCUGUGGCUCACCUCAAAUGCGUCAGUGCACCUCUUGGUUGGACAUAGUACGGCGUGAUAAGUGUCUUCGCCGGCACCUCGCAAGAGGGUGGCCGAUCGGGAGCUCUGCGCUUUCAAACCGUCUUCGGACAAUUUCUGACAUCUUGACAUCAAAUCGAGUAGGACUACCCGCUGAACUUAAGCAUAUCAAUAAGCGGAGGA
rnacentral:misc_RNA from 1 species